rnacentral:miRNA from 1 species
GAACGGAGGAGAGAGAAGGGAGCUGACAGGAGCUGCAGGAAAGGUAAGUAGCCACUCUCUGCCAGCCCACAAUAGGACCGCCGGGCUUGUAAUGAGCCCGGCGGUCCCUGGCGGCUGCAGUCCUGUUGGGGGCUGGCAGAGAGCUGUUACUUACCUUUCCUGCAGCUCCUGUCAGCUCCCUUCUCUCUCCUCCAUUCC